rnacentral:rRNA from 1 species
UACGAAGGGGGCUAGCGUUGCUCGGAAUUACUGGGCGUAAAGGGCGCGUAGGCGGACAGUUUAGUCAGAGGUGAAAGCCCAGGGCUCAACCUUGGAAUUGCCUUUGAUACUGGCUGUCUUGAGUUCGGGAGAGGUGAGUGGAAUGCCGAGUGUAGAGGUGAAAUUCGUAGAUAUUAGGAAGAACACCAGUGGCGAAGGCGGCUCACUGGAUCGGUACUGACGCUGAGGUGCGAAAGCGUGGGGAGCAAACAGG